rnacentral:rRNA from 1 species
CCUACGGGAGGCAGCAGUGAGGAAUAUUGCGCAAUGGGGGAAACCCUGACGCAGCAACGCCGCGUGGGUGAAGAAGGCCUUCGGGUCGUAAAGCCCUUUCGGACGGGACGAACGCUCCGCGGUGACAACCCGCGGAGCCUGACGGUACCGUAAGAAGAAGCACCGGCUAACUCCGUGCCAGCAGCCGCGGUAAUACGGAGGGUGCAAGCGUUGUUCGGAAUUACUGGGCGUAAAGCGCGUGUAGGCGGCCUUGCAAGCCAGACGUGAAAGCCCUCGGCUUAACCGGGGAAGUGCGUCUGGAACUGCUCGGCUCGAGUACGGGAGAGGGAGGCGGAAUUCCCAGUGUAGAGGUGAAAUUCGUAGAUAUCAGCAGGAACGCCGGAGGCGAAAGCGACCGCCUGGCCAGGUACUGACGCUGAGGAACGAAAGCGUGGGGAGCAAACAGGAUUAGAUACCCUGGUAGUCCACGCCGUAAACGAUGAUGACUGGAUGUUGGAGGAGUUUGACCCUUCAGUAUCGAAGUACACACGGUAAGUCAUCCGCCUGGGGAGUACGGCCGCAAGGCUAAAACUCAAAGGAAUGACGG